CUGUGUUUGCUGUGUGACCGCAGCACAAAUAGAAAAAGUUCAAUCAAAACAGAUACUAAAUCCCAUAAAUAUUUCUUCUUAAAAUUUUCAAGAAUGAAAACUACCAGUACUGAUGUGGAUCAAAUUGUCCAAGAAAUUCGCAAGUUAAAGACUGAGAAUAUCAGAAUUAAAAUGUUAUUCACGGAAUAUAAACUACAGGUGAAACAAUGCCUUUCUGAAAGGGAAGAAUUAAUAAAAAAUUACAUCAGUGAAAAUUUAGACACGCUAGAGAAGAUUAAAAUAGGAAAAAAAAAUUUAAGCAAAAGCGAUCAGAAUCUGAAAAAAAUGAUGGAAACAAAAAUAUAUCUUCUUAAAAAAAACAAAGAGAAUGUUAGCUGCUGAGAAAAACGAAAAUCAUGCGGAGAUGUCUGAUUCUGAGAAAUCAAAGAGCCCAAGUCCCAUUGAAGAAAACCGAAGCCCAAAAUAGAGCCGAAACUUAAAUCUAGAUCGCUUAAAGUGAAAAAAUGUAUAUUUUGAGAAGAAAAAUUGAACUUCAAUUACAAACUGAUUAAUUCUUGGAAAAAUACAUUUAUAAAACAAUAAAUA